UACGUAGGGGGCAAGCGUUGUCCGGAAUCAUUGGGCGUAAAGCGCGUGUAGGCGGCUGACUAAGUCCGCUCUGAAAGCCCGGGGCUCAACCCCGGGAGGCGGGUGGAUACUGGUCAGCUCGAGUCCGGAAGAGGCGAGUGGAAUUCCUGGUGUAGCGGUGAAAUGCGCAGAUAUCAGGAGGAACACCGAUGGCGAAGGCAGCUCGCUGGGACGGUACUGACGCUGAGACGCGAAAGCAUGGGGAGCGAACAGG
rnacentral:rRNA from 1 species